rnacentral:rRNA from 1 species
AAUAAAUUUUAUUCUAGUUUAUUGAGAUUUUUGGAUGAUAAAAUAUGAUAUGUGAAUUUUUGUGUGUAAUUUUAUCUGUUUUAAUAAUGGAUUUAUAUAUAUAUAUAUGCAGCUUUUAUUUUUAUGUAUUUGGUAAUUUAAGACAUAGUUAAUCAUUUUUAUGACUAGCAAAAAUUGUGCCAGCAGCUGCGGUUAUACAAUUAGUCGGAAAUAUUUUUAUUAGAAAAAUUAUUUAUAUUUAUUUUUUGAUUAUAUUCUUUAAUUUUUGAAGUGAAAUUUGAAAUUUUUUUGUAUAAUUAGGUUAUAGAUUAUGAGAUAUUCUUAAUUUAGACUAGGAUUAGAUACCCUAUUAUUGAGAAUGUAAAUUUAAUUUCUUAGUAUUAUAAGUUAUGAUCUUUAAAUUGAAAGAAUUUGACGGUAAUUUAAUCAUUUUAGAGGAACCUGUUCUAUAAUCGAUAAUCCACGAUACAUUUUACCUUUAACAUAAGAUCAUGGUUUGUAUAUCUCUGUCUGAAUUGAAUGUUUUAUUAGGAUAUUUUCAAAAAUUUUUAAUUGAAAAUUAUGUCAGGUCAAGGUGCAGCUAUAUAAAGGAUUGAAAUGGGUUACAUUUAAUAUAAAAUUAUUGGAUUAGUUCAUUAACAAUGGAUUAUGAAAUUGGAUUUAAUUGUAAUGUUUAAUAUAUAUUAUUCAUGAUAUAUGUUCUUGAUUAAGUACACAUCGCCCGUCACUCUCAUUAAUAAGAUGAGAUAAGUCGUAACAAAGUAGUCCUAUCGGAAGAUGGGGCUAGAAUUAU